CACGCUUCGGCGUGUGACUGCGUACCUUUUGUAUAAUGGGUCAGCGACUUAUAUUCUGUAGCAAGGUUAACCGAAUAGGGGAGCCGAAGGGAAACCGAGUCUUAACUGGGCGUUAAGUUGCAGGGUAUAGACCCGAAACCCGGUGAUCUAGCCAUGGGCAGGUUGAAGGUUGGGUAACACUAACUGGAGGACCGAACCGACUAAUGUUGAAAAAUUAGCGGAUGACUUGUGGCUGGGGGUGAAAGGCCAAUCAAACCGGGAGAUAGCUGGUUCUCCCCGAAAGCUAUUUAGGUAGCGCCUCGUGAAUUCAUCUCCGGGGGUAGAGCACUGUUUCGGCAAGGGGGUCAUCCCGACUUACCAACCCGAUGCAAACUGCGAAUACCGGAGAAUGUUAUCACGGGAGACACACGGCGGGUGCUAACGUCCGUCGUGAAGAGGGAAACAACCCAGACCGCCAGCUAAGGUCCCAAAGUCAUGGUUAAGUGGGAAACGAUGUGGGAAGGCCCAGACAGCCAGGAUGUUGGCUUAGAAGCAGCCAUCAUUUAAAGAAAGCGUAAUAGCUCACUGGUCGAGUCGGCCUGCGCGGAAGAUGUAACGGGGCUAAACCAUGCACCGAAGCUGCGGCAGCGACACUAUGUGUUGUUGGGUAGGGGAGCGU
rnacentral:rRNA from 1 species